GUAAAUUGAAUAGCGAUUGCCAAUAUAGGUUUGAAUAUGAAGGUACAAACGUUUCUACCGCACGCCGUAAAAGUUGCGACUAUUGGAGGAAAACGCAAAAGC
rnacentral:ncRNA from 2 species